GACAGAGGAGCCAAGCGUUGUCCGGAUUGACUGGGCGUAAAGCGCACGCAGGCGGUCGCGCGCGUGGGGUGUGAAAUCUGGCCGCUUAACGGCCAGGCGCCAUCCCAUACGGCGCGACUGGAGUGAUGCAGAGGUCGAUGGAAUUGCCGGUGUAGUGGUGAAAUGCGUAGAGAUCGGCAGGAACACCCCAGGGGGGAAACCAGUCGACUGGGCAUCUACUGACGCUGAGGUGCGAGAGCGUGGGGAGCGAACCGG
rnacentral:rRNA from 1 species